GAUAAGGUUAAGUGAAUAAGGGCGCACGGUGGAUGCCUUGGCACUAGGAGCCGAUGAAGGACGGGACUAACACCGAUAUGCUUUGGGGAGCUGUAAGUAAGCUAUGAUCCAGAGAUUUCCGAAUGGGGGAACCCAAUAUCUUUUAUAGGAUAUUACUUUUCAGUGAAUACAUAGCUGAUUAGAGGUAGACGCAGAGAACUGAAACAUCUUAGUACCUGCAGGAAGAGAAAGAAAAUUCGAUUCCCUGAGUAGCGGCGAGCGAAACGGGAAGAGCCCAAACCAACAAGCUUGCUUGUUGGGGUUGUAGGACUCC
rnacentral:rRNA from 1 species